AGUCUGUUGGGGUCAUAUACUGUGUCUGGUGCUCCCGGUGAGGCCUCCUGUAAAUCGGCCAGACCCAACGUAGAUUGGGAGACCACUUUGUCAAGCACCUAUGCUCCAUCUGCCAGAAGAAGAGGGAUGUCCAGUGGCCUCCCAUUUUAAUUCCACUUCCCAUUCUGAUAUGUCAUUCCAUGGCCUCCUCCACUGGCACGAUGAGGCCACACUCAGGUUGGAGGAGCAACACCUAAUAUUCCAUCCGGACAGCCUGCAACCUGAUGGCAUGAACAUCGAUUUCUCAAACUGCUGGUAAUGCCACCCACCCCCCCCCACCAUUCCCCAUCCCCUUUCCCACCUUAUCUCCUUGCCCACUUAAUCACCUUCCUCUGGUGCUCCUCCCCCUUUUCUUUCUUCCAAAUCCUCUGUCCUCCCCUAUCAGACUAUCCCUAUCCCGCCCUGUAUCUCUUUCACCAAUCAAGUUCCCAGCUCCUUACUUCACCCCUCCCCCCGCAGUUUCACCUCUCACCUCGUGUUACACUCUCCCAUCCCCCCACCUUUUAAAUCUACUCAUCUUUUUUUCUUCAGUCCUGCCGAAGGGUCUCGGCCUGAAAUGUCUACUGUACCGUUUUUCCCUCAUAGAUGCUGCCUGACCUGCUGAGUUCCACCAGCAUUUUGUGUGUGCUGCUUGUGCAAGACCCCAGGAAAGGUUUCACUGCUAACGUAAUGGUCUUUCUGCAGAAGCAGUGUUCAAGUUAUGAAUGUGAGCUGGGUCCUUUGUUCUGUGGGAGAUGAAGGAGGGAAGACACUGGAGAGAACCAAUUGUAGGAUUCAGCCUGUCAGGGGGGCCGUGAUUCCAUGGAGCAAGGUGCCACAGUUGGCUGAGUAUCGAUAAGCUUUGUGGUCCAGUGAACAUAUAUGUGAUCUCACCACCGGAGCAAAUGAACAUUUACCUAAAGAUGCACCCGGUUUUUAACCAUUCUAGAUUCACUGCCUAUAAAAAGUAUUCACCACCCCCCCCCCCCGGAAGUUUUCAUAUUUUCUUUGUUUUACAACGUUGAAUCACAGUGGACUUAGGACAAUAGAACACUACAGCACAGUACCGGCCCUUUAGCCCUCAAUAUUGUGCUGACCCAAAUAAUCCUUAAAAAAAAGUACUAAACCCACACUACCCCAUAACCCUCCAUUUUUCUUUCAUCCAUGUGCCUGUCCAAGAGGCUCUUAAAUACCCCUAAUGUUUUAGCCUCCACCACCAUCCCUGGCAAGUCAUUCCAGGCACUCACAACCCUCUGUGUAAAAAACUUACCCCUGAUGUCUCCCCUAAACUUCCCUCCCUUAAUUUUGUACGUAUGCCCUCUGGUGUUUGCUAUUGGUGCCCUGGGAAACAGGUACUGACUAUCCACCCUAUCUAUGCCUCUCAUAAUCUUGUAGACCUCUAUCAAGUCCCCUCUCAUUCUUCUACACUCCAAAGAGAAAAGUCCCAGCUCUGCUAACCUUGCUUCAGAUGACUUGUUCUCCAAACCAGGCAACAUCCUGGUAAAUCUCCUCUGCACCCUCUCCAUAGCUUCCACAUCCUUCGUAUAAUGAGGUGACCAGAAUUGAACACAGUACUCAAGUGCGGUCUCAGAUUCAGUUUAUUGUCAUUUAGAAACCACAAAUGCAAUGCAGUUAAUAAAUGAGAGAAUGCCGGAGGGGAUGUUCGUCGGCUCAGAGGUUCGACGGACUCGGAGUCCGCUGUGGUCAGGUCGCUUUCGGUGUGUGCUGUGUCUGCGAGGCUGAGUCGGGCGACGCCAUGGAAGUCCAUAGCGGGGGUAUUCCCUUCUGCCGCCGGCGUGGGAUGGCGAGUCUGUCGGUACCCUGGCGACUUGUGGAAACUGUGCUGUCAACUCAUUGGUACAGUUCAACAUUUUAUCAAAGGAAACGCUGCAAACGUGCAAUUUAGGAUAUCGCUGGACCUCCCAGCCAGUGUACGAUUCAUGUAACGUGAAGCAGCGAUACUGUUCUGCCUGUUGUACAACGUUUGCACAAUGGCUGAUGGAACGUGGAGUAGAUCAGACAAGCAAGCCUCACCUUUACUAAGCUCCAUGACUUCAACGGAAGGGAAGAGCAGAAAGCGGGCAUUGACAGAGUACUCGGCGAGAUGAGUUCCACAAUGAGCACAGCAAGGGAGAUUGUGAAGAGAAGGACGAGGAUCGGAGAGAAACUGCCUGCGGCAAAAGGCAUAAUUGAGAGAGAUCUAUUACCUUGGGCCAACAUUCGGCAUAGUCAGCGUUCUUAUCCUCCACAUCGGUGCG